UACGUAGGGUCCGAGCGUUGUCCGGAAUUACUGGGCGUAAAGAGCUCGUAGGUGGUUUGUCGCGUUGUUCGUGAAAACUCACAGCUCAACUGUGGGCGUGCGGGCGAUACGGGCAGACUGGAGUACUGCAGGGGAGACUGGAAUUCCUGGUGUAGCGGUGGAAUGCGCAGAUAUCAGGAGGAACACCGGUGGCGAAGGCAGGUCUCUGGGCAUUAACUGACGCUGAGGAGCGAAAGCAUGGGGAGCGAACAGG
rnacentral:rRNA from 1 species